rnacentral:misc_RNA from 1 species
UAGAAAACACCAACUUUGGAACAGGCAGCGUGGUAAAUUAAGUUAUAGUAAUUUUGUCUCUGUAAAAUAUACAACAGUAAUUACAAAUUGAUGAGGGAAAAAAAUAAAAUAUAAAAGCUAGAUUUACAAGCAACAAAGGAUAAAAAUGAAAGAAUGAAAGCUCCAAUUGCUACAACCGAAGUUCAGCAAUGUUUUAAGAAUAUCCAUCUGCAGUUAUUUGGAAUUCUUAGCUUUCAUCUCAGCAGCAGCAGCUUUAACAGCAGAUUUUGCCAGGCUGCUGGAUUUUAAUGCACUUUUUGGAUUAAGUGCUUUUCGAAUCUUAAAUGCAGCCCAUGCAGUCCCUAUUGCAUGCCCAGCUGCAUCAAGACUCUCAUUUGUAGCCUCAGCUGCUUGUUCACCAUAUCUGCAACAAAAACUUCCAAUUUGAUAACUUCACACUUGGAUAGUUAUAAUAUUGUUUUCCUUCAUCUCCACAAACACAUCAUAUAUCCAUUCCCCAACCGAAAGAGAAAGAAAGAGCAUUCAAAUUGAAGUGAUCAGAAUAUAUCCAGUGAAAUUCAUCCACUGGGGAAUCGUUCAGUUGUCACAAUGAUGAUGUUAACUAUAACAUCACAAUCCUUCUAGAUAUUUUGCAAAUUACACAAAUAGGAAAAGGCUGAACACAAAAUUGGAUGCGUUUAACCACUAAUAUAGUCCACAAUAAUAGUGCUGCACAAAGUUGUGGCCAAAUAAAUCAUGGCAUUCAAAAUUCAAACCCAGUGAAGAGAAGAGGGAAAAAUCAUAACAUUUGCGUGGGAGAAAAAAUUGUCAAUUAAGAUGGGCAUAUUUGACUGCUGCUGAGAAUAUCAGAAGCCACACAUCUGGAGAUCAGACCGAAAAUUCAAACAAAAUAAACCUUCCUAUGUAAAUUGAACCGAAAAAAAAAAGCAACUCUAUUCCAAUCCUGUAUCUAUUGAUAAUAUUCAUCUCUAGUAACCCAGCAUAACAAGCUCAAACAGUGUAGUCAUAGUGUUUUUGGCCAAUUAACAUGUCCUAAGCUGGCAGUUAAUCAACCAGCUUAGCUUCAGUAAUGUCUCAAAAAGGGACAGAAAAGAAACUAUUGCCCAAAAGCACUACUGUCUGAAGGAACAUAUCAUGGUAUUCUAUGUGAAGAUUACAAAAUGGAAUUACAACUUGAUCAUCUGGAAAUUUAAACAAAAAUCUGAACUGUGCUUCAUCCACCUCAGAUUCAAAAUAAGCAUUUUACACCAUUAUGCCCAUGUCAAAAAUCUAACAACUCAGCAGACAAGUUAAAAGAUGGCAAUGGUCUGCUAAAUGCAGUUUUGUAAAGCUUUUGCAGUGACGCAAGCUGAAUUCACACAUGAUAAAAGCUAUAUAACAUUAUAACUUUCUCUAUUUAUUAUUAUUUGGAUGCACAUCAAUAUGAAAAAUAGAUCUGCACUAAGCUCUUACUGGAAAAAAGUGUCUAAGGAUAUUUAAUGCCAACUAUUCCUAUAUCAUGUCCAGCUGUUAAGAAAAAGGAUGUGAACCCAUCAAUUAGUACUAGCCAACUUUUAAAAAUCAGGUAAAAAGGCCAGGGUUAAGUGGUUGUCAACGUCCUCUUAAAAGAUAAAGAGCUAGGGCGACUAGGAUCCCAUCCCAAUCUCCUGUAAGGCUCAUAUGCACAUUGAUUCAUUCUCAGGCAUUGGUUGGUAUGAUUGAUUGCCACAACAAAUAUAUUUUCACAUUUUAUGGAUGUUACAUUUUUUCCCCUUGCAUUUGUUCCCUAUGGCCUUGUUUAGUCAUGGAAAACAUUUUCUAUUUGCAAUUUUCUUCCCCAUUUAUUAGUCUUUCAACUUUUUAUUUUCUAAGUGGAAAAUUGAAGAACUAGAAAAUAUGAAUAUUUGUCAAAAUUUUCAAUUCUCCAUUUUCUAUUUUCCUUCUAUAAGAUAUUUUGUUUGACCUUUUUUGGUUACGUAAGAACUAUUUCAUUGAAAAUAUUAAUUAACUUUAAACAUGAAUAAAAAAAUAGUUUCACAAUUGAAUCACUUAAAUAUAAUUUUUUACCAAUCUAAAGAUGCAUGUUAAACCUAAAAACUGCAAUGAUUGUUGUUAUCAAACAAUUUAACUUAAUUUUUCAAAUUUAACAUAGAAUUUUUAUAUCAAUAAGCAAGUUUUUUAAAAAAUUGAAAGAAAUAAUUUAGUUAGUUCUGAUCCUUACUUUUAAUUUGAAAUAAACUUAGCCAGUCUAACAUCUUAAUCUUAAAAUUCAUUAUUAAAAUAAAUCAAAGGAAAUUUAAAAGAAAAAGUUGCUAUUGGGGUUCAAACCCCAGCAGCAAUGUACAAAAAUAAGAAUGCAUUGCAGCUAGUCUGGUAUCUCAAGCUGAAAAUAAGCAAUAUAAAAAAUUCAUGUUUCAAACCCUAAUAGGAAUACUAAUUUGGCAUGAGGUAAAACAUGGAAAACAAUUUAAUGUAGUUUUCAAAGGUUAGCUUAAAUUUGGAAAACGUCCAUUUUCCAGUUUCUUGGAAUACUUGAAAAACAAGCUCUGUUUUCCACAACUAAAUAAUGCCUUUGCUUUUUAUUCCCUUUCAAUUUUCCAUUCUAAGAAGGAAGCACUGAAGUACAUAUUAACUGUUUCACUUUGUCAGUAAAAGUGCCGCUGUGACCGAGUCAGUAUGAAGCUCACUAUACCUGUGGUUGACGAGUUCAGUUGUCACAGUGGAUGAUGUUGACAUGACAUUCCUUCCAGCUACUUCAACAGCAUCACAAACCUUGCUAAAUCCAUCCAGGGACGCAAGCACAAUUUCCCCUGGCAGGAGGCCAAAGAAUUUCUUGCCCACUUUUGAAUUGGCAACUUUACUAGUGAAAAUUCCAGAUACUUUCACAACCCCAGAGAGAACUCCCUUGGCAACUUUCUCUGUCCUUUUUGUAAUCUUCUUAACUCUUCUAAUCCUUUUCAUAGUGUCAGGACUAAUCUCUGAUUUCGACUUGAAACUCAUCCUUCUCUUCAUGACCUCAUUCCCCCAUUUCAUCCUAUCUACAGUCACAUCCCCGCACCACAAAAUGCCCUUAAUCAGGUGCCCUGAACCCGUAGCAAUCACCUUUGCAGUAGUGCUACUAUAAUCCUCCACAUUGGGUGCCAAUGUGGUCCAAUACGCCGCACACCUCCCCUCCAUCAAUUCUUUCUUGUCCUCAUUCUGCAAAUCCGCCGGUGAAGUCUCCUUCACUGUCAAUUCAUCCAACAAAGACUCUCCCUUAGUUCUCGCCUUCUCUGAAACUCUAUGAACCGUAAAACAGCUAUAAGCCUGUAAAAUGACAUCUAACUCCUUCAACAAAGCCUCCUGCCCUUUGGAUGCAAUGGUCAAACCAUAAUUCAAUAUAUCAUUCGAAUCACUACUAUUUUUGUUUAUACUCUUCUUGUCCUCCUCAUCACUGCUCGAAUCCGAGUCCUGGUGCUCCUUGGGCAACCGGAGGGAGAAAAAAUAAUGCGAAUCGUCUAGUUUUACUGCUGCCUCGUCCUUGGCUAAAGGCCAUUGGAUCUCGUCAGCGACUCGAGCGAGAACGGCGACGAUAUUAUCACCCUGGCGGAGGCGGAAAAUGGAGAGAUCUCCACAAGCGAGCUCGACACUAUAGUUCUUGUCGAUUAGAUUGAGAACGGCACCGGGGAUUGUGAUCAAUACUUCCUCCAUGGCCUCUGGUGGGGCAGAGGGGGUAUGGUGAUUGUAUUCUUCGGGGUCAGGGAAGAGAUUUUCGACGAGGUCGCGCAUGUCGAUGGUAGGGUAGAGGUUGGAAGAUGGUGAUUGAAGAUUAGGGUUUGAGUGGAGAUGAGAAGGAGAAUCGGGAUUUGAUAGGAUCACUUCUGGAUACAGGGAUUUUUUUGGAUUAGGGUUUUGGGAAGCCAUUGUUUAUUUUUGAAGGGAAAGGUGGGGAGAGAGAUAGAUCCUGGUUUUUUUUUUUUCGUGGGAUGAGAGGAACAGUUAUGGCGGUUGGGAGUUGAAACCCCGUUGA